AGCUCUGUGGCGCAAUGGAUAGUGCAUUGGACUUCUAGGCUGUGAGCUGAGCCAUUCAAAGGUUGUGGGUUCGAGUCCCACCAGAGUUG
rnacentral:tRNA from 1 species